CUUCGGGGGACGAUAACGGCGUCGAGCGGCGGACGGGUGAGUAAUGCCUAGGAAAUUGCCCUGAUGUGGGGGAUAACCAUUGGAAACGAUGGCUAAUACCGCAUAAUGCCUACGGGCCAAAGAGGGGGACCUUCGGGCCUCUCGCGUCAGGAUAUGCCUAGGUGGGAUUAGCUAGUUGGUGAGGUAAUGGCUCACCAAGGCGACGAUCCCUAGCUGGUCUGAGAGGAUGAUCAGCCACACUGGAACUGAGACACGGUCCAGACUCCUACGGGAGGCAGCAGUGGGGAAUAUUGCACAAUGGGCGCAAGCCUGAUGCAGCCAUGCCGCGUGUGUGAAGAAGGCCUUCGGGUUGUAAAGCACUUUCAGUCGUGAGGAAGGUGGUGUAGUUAAUAGCUGCAUUACUUGACGUUAGCGACAGAAGAAGCACCGGCUAACUCCGUGC
rnacentral:rRNA from 1 species